AGGUGAUCCAACCGCAGGUUCCCCUACGGUUACCUUGUUACGACUUCACCCCAGUCAUGAAUCACAAAGUGGUAAGCGCCCUCCCGAAGGUUAAGCUACCUACUUCUUUUGCAACCCACUCCCAUGGUGUGACGGGCGGUGUGUACAAGGCCCGGGAACGUAUUCACCGUGGCAUUCUGAUCCACGAUUACUAGCGAUUCCGACUUCAUGGAGUCGAGUUGCAGACUCCAAUCCGGACUACGACGCACUUUAUGAGGUCCGCUUGCUCUCGCGAGGUCGCUUCUCUUUGUAUGCGCCAUUGUAGCACGUGUGUAGCCCUGGUCGUAAGGGCCAUGAUGACUUGACGUCAUCCCCACCUUCCUCCAGUUUAUCACUGGCAGUCUCCUUUGAGUUCCCGGCCGGACCGCUGGCAACAAAGGAUAAGGGUUGCGCUCGUUGCGGGACUUAACCCAACAUUUCACAACACGAGCUGACGACAGCCAUGCAGCACCUGUCUCACGGUUCCCGAAGGCACAUUCUCAUCUCUGAAAACUUCCGUGGAUGUCAAGACCAGGUAAGGUUCUUCGCGUUGCAUCGAAUUAAACCACAUGCUCCACCGCUUGUGCGGGCCCCCGUCAAUUCAUUUGAGUUUUAACCUUGCGGCCGUACUCCCCAGGCGGUCGACUUAACGCGUUAGCUCCGGAAGCCACGCCUCAAGGGCACAACCUCCAAGUCGACAUCGUUUACGGCGUGGACUACCAGGGUAUCUAAUCCUGUUUGCUCCCCACGCUUUCGCACCUGAGCGUCAGUCUUCGUCCAGGGGGCCGCCUUCGCCACCGGUAUUCCUCCAGAUCUCUACGCAUUUCACCGCUACACCUGGAAUUCUACCCCCCUCUACGAGACUCAAGCUUGCCAGUAUCAGAUGCAGUUCCCAGGUUGAGCCCGGGGAUUUCACAUCUGACUUAACAAACCGCCUGCGUGCGCUUUACGCCCAGUAAUUCCGAUUAACGCUUGCACCCUCCGUAUUACCGCGGCUGCUGGCACGGAGUUAGCCGGUGCUUCUUCUGCGGGUAACGUCAAUGAGCAAAGGUAUUAACUUUACUCCCUUCCUCCCCGCUGAAAGUACUUUACAACCCGAAGGCCUUCUUCAUACACGCGGCAUGGCUGCAUCAGGCUUGCGCCCAUUGUGCAAUAUUCCCCACUGCUGCCUCCCGUAGGAGUCUGGACCGUGUCUCAGUUCCAGUGUGGCUGGUCAUCCUCUCAGACCAGCUAGGGAUCGUCGCCUUGGUGAGCCGUUACCCCACCAACAAGCUAAUCCCAUCUGGGCACAUCCGAUGGCAAGAGGCCCGAAGGUCCCCCUCUUUGGUCUUGCGACGUUAUGCGGUAUUAGCUACCGUUUCCAGUAGUUAUCCCCCUCCAUCAGGCAGUUUCCCAGACAUUACUCACCCGUCCGCCACUCGUCAGCAAAGCAGCAAGCUGCUUUCUGUUACCGUUCGACUUGCAUGUGUUAGGCCUGCCGCCAGCGUUCAAUCUGAGCCAUGAUCAAACUCU
rnacentral:rRNA from 2 species